GCAGCAGCGGCGGCGGCGGCAGUGGCCCGGCUGGAAGGCCGCGAGUUCGAAUACCUCAUGAAGAAGCGCUCGGUGACCAUCGGCCGUAACUCCUCGCAGGGCUCGGUGGACGUGAGCAUGGGCCACUCCAGCUUCAUCUCCCGGCGGCACCUCGAGAUCUUCACUGCCCGCCCAGGCCCCGGCCGUUUCCAAUAACAGCAAACGGGCGAGGGUGUGUAGCGCGGGAAGCGGGGCCAACCCUGGCCCCGUCUCCCACGGCGUCGACAGCGCCCCCUAGCGGCUGCGCCCGAGGCUACGGCUUAACGGGCCUCAUAGGUCAAACCGGCCCUGACUACAGAUCCCAGAAACUCCAGUUCCCAGGAAUUCUGGAAUCUAAAUUCAAAGCUUUUCCAAGCUGUUUACAUUUCUAUAGCACCUUCAAGUGUCCAAAGUACUUAAUACUUGUAAAACCUUGCAACCACAUUAUAAGAAACUUCUCUAUUGUAGGCCUUUCCCUAUCAACUGGGAGGGGGGAAAGGACAAAGAAAGACCACCUUGUUUAAGUCCUUCAUGUGAAUUCAUAGCAGGCACAAGGUACAAAACAGGAAACAUCCUUGUUUGCAGUUCAAUUAUUUAUUAACUGCCCAACUUUGGAACUUCUAUGGCUGAAAGUCAGCCUUCUGCUAGUAAUCCAGUAUCAUAUUUUAAUUCCUUCCUCUCCCACUGGCAAUUCUUUUUCCACCCCAGCUCCCCAGCUAUUUCUAGGGAUGCACAGAGUGCUAUAACAUAGAGGGUGAGCUUCCUAAUUGUGGUUUAGUCUUAUUACUAUGUUUUGUUUUGUUUUUUGCUAAUUUAGUUUGAUGUGAGCUGUCUUGGAUCCCACUCCAGGAGAAAGGCAGCAUAUAAAUGCAAAAAAUAAAUACAUAAAUGUGUGAAUAAAUAAAUAAAUAUUUCUGGAACUUUUUGAUUUACAAAAGGAAGGUCCAGAAUAUUAGGGGAAGGGAUUUGCUAAAUGUAUCAGUUUGUUAGAUUUAUUUCAUUAACAUAUCUAACACCACAGGAUUUCAAAAAUAAUUUCAUACUUUGACCAAUUUGCUAUUUUAGUUCAUUGAAUUUGUUAGCAGGUUAGGUAAUUCUGUCUUUCUGCCAGAUUCAUUAAAAAGGGAUGGCCCCAGGAGAAGAAUGACAAUUGGAGAAAAUGCAUCACCUGAUGUCUGGGGAAAUGGCUAUAGAACAGGAUUGCUGUGAUACUUUCUAAUGAAAACUUUUUACUAGAUGGUCCAACAAUGAAAUGCCCUUUUCUCUGCACAGUUCAACCACUUUGGUUUUUAGAACCAAGAACUAAAGACAUCUUAGGGCAGUGGUUCUCGACCUGUGGGUCCCCAGGUGUUUUGGACUACAACUCCCAGAAAUUCCAGCCAGUUUACCAGCUGUUAGGAUUUCUGGGAGUUGAAGGCCAAACCAUCUGGGGACCCACAGGUUGAAAACCACUGUCUUAGGGCAAAUGUGCCAUGGAAUGAAUCUGGGACUUCUGGGAUCUGUAUAUAAAAUAUGCUGAUUUUUAUAGUCAGGUGCUUGUUGCUGUAUUCACAAUGUAUCAGUGUCCUGAAGCUGUAAUUAACACAUCACUACUCACUAAGCUUUAAUAUCAUUCCUUAUUAACCUUUAACACGAUGUAGUUAGAGUGCAAAAAUAAAAGAAAUGUAGAAAACUUAAUUGAAGAGAUUAUGAGAUGAGAUCCCAUACUUUAGGAAUGUGGCAGUUUACAGACAUGUUGGACUCUCACCAUUCCCAUGUAACAACAUUACUAUGAGCUUUAAAGCCCAUCUGGAAAGAUGAGCCUAACUGGGUGAAGUCAUUAAGAAAGAGCACUUUUGAAGGAGCCAAUAACAAAAUCUGUUCCUCAAUCAUCUGUUCCAAAAACCAACAGUUCAAGUAACAAAACAGUAUAAUAUGACUCCUCUGUUUCUCUGGAGCCAAUAUCUCUGAUUUCAUAUACCUGCAUCUAACAAAAUAUGCUCUCUUCUGGCACUUUCUAGGUCUUCCAGAUGAUUUAAUGGUAUACUUCCACCUGAUGUUGACUACACUGGAGGACCUAGUGCUGCUUAAAGAGAUGUCUUUUUUAGGCAUUUCCUAGAAAGGACAUCUCAAGGAUGGCUCUAUUUCAUGAUUCUGCCAGUUCAAUAGGGUUUGUUAUUACCUGUGGUUUUGCAUAUCCACACAAAGUCUUGCAAUAUAUCUUCCACAGACAUGUGGACUGUCCUAUAUUUUUAAUUAAACAGUAUUCAGUAACAAAUCAGUACUGUUAAUAAAAUAAGUCAAAUUAGUUAAAAUGAAUUACUCUCCCAUUUUCUAGAAAUUUAUUCUAGAGGUUUAAUUUCAAGCCUAACAUUCCAAUUUCUGGGAAGUUCCCAGUGAGGUCCAUGUUUAUGACCUUUGGUUCCCUUUCCCUCACAUAUUUCCUGUAUCUUUGUUCAGCUUAGUUCAGCUUUAGAGCUGAACUAGUCUUCCAUCCAUCUAUCAUCUUAUCAGUUUUUGAAUGUACUGUUGAAAUACCUCCAGUUCUAAUUGCAAGCUGAAAAAUACCUCAUCUUUUGGCAAUCAACAGUCUAAUACUGUUCUAAAUGUUUCUGCCUAUGUAGAUGUGAUGGGACUUCAGUAGCCAGGAGUAACAGAACCUGUAAUUGGCAUUUACUUCUGCCAAUCUGCAAUAAGUCUUGGAUACCACAUAGAGAUGGAUUUUCCCCCUCUGUCCUUCCCUGCUUCUGGCAAUUGUUUAAUAUGUUAUGCCGAGCUUCUAUCUCUUUGUAGUGAGGGUGGGAGGACUAAUGCUGCAGACCAUGUAUAUUUCAGAUACUGGGAUUCACAGAUCUAUUCUUAAUCGUGACAAGACAUGCUUAUGCAUUGCAGUGCUUCAUUAUCAUGGCUCCAGUUCACAGAUUUUUUUCAGCUGCUUGUUUCAGCUAAUCAACUCGACAGAUUUUUUGGAGACGAACUAAUCCCCCUUUUCUUACUUUUUAAAAGCAUUGCUCUUUUCCACUGGCUAGUAUUUACUAAAAUGCCAGUCCCAGCCAUUGCAAAUGAAACAUUUAAGAAAGAAAAUUAAUGUCAACUAAUACUAAUAUGGCAGGGCUGCAUACUUUCAUCCUCCCCAUUCAACUUGUACGGAGAACACAUCAUGUGACAUGUGGGGCUUGACGAAUCCGAGGUCGGAGUUAAAAUUGCUGGAAGAAACAUUAACAACCUUAGGUAUGCAGAUGAUACCACUCUGAUGGCCGAAAGUGAGGAAGAGCUGAGGAGUCUUAUCACCAAGGUGAAAGAAGAAAGUGCAAAAGCUGGGUGGCAGUUAAACAUCAAGAAAACCAAGAUCAUGGCAACUACACCUACUGAUAACUGGCAAAUAGAAGGAGAAAACGUGGAGGCAGUGACAAACUUUAUAUUUCUAGGAGCGAAGAUCACUGCAGAUGUAGACUGCAGCCAGGAAAUCAGAAGACGUUUACUUCUUGGGAGGAGAGCAAUGGCCAACCUUGACAAAAUAGUGAAAAGCAGAGACAUCACACUGGCAACGAAGGUCCGCAUAGUCAAAGCAAUGAUAUUUGCCAUAGUAACUUAUGGUUGCAAGAGCUGGACCAUAAGGAAGGCUGAACGAAGGAAGAUAGACGCUUUUGAACUUUGGUGCUGGAGGAAAAUCCUGAGAGUGCCUUGAACCACAAGAAGAUCCAACCAGUCUAUCAUCCAGGAAAUAAUGCCCGGCUGCUCACUGGAGGGAAGGAUAUUAGAGGCAAAGUUGAAGUAUUUUGGCCACAUCAUGAGGAGACAGGAAAGCUUGGAAAAGAUCACAAUGCUGGGGAAAAUGGAAGGAAAAAGGAAGAAAGGCCAACCAAGGGCGAGAUGGAUGGAUGAUAUCCUUGAAGUGACUGGCUUGACCUUGAAGGAACUGGGGGCGGCGACGACCGACAGGGAGCUCUGGCAUGGACUGGUCCAUGAGGUCACGAAGAGUCGGAAACGACUAUGCGACUGAGAGAGAGAGAGAAUAAUAACUCCAUAAAGACUACCAAUAGGGUUCAGGUUGAUGCAAAAGAAAUGCAUACGAUUAUACAAGGAACCUUUACAGGAGUCAGGGUCUGAUCAGCAUUCAUUCACUUUUUUGGCUUAAGAAAUUUAGGGUUUUCAUAUACUGGGUUGAGCAAAGCAUGGUCUGAAGACUACAUGCAGCCAUCAUAGGGAACUCAGGGUCCAAAAGCUCAACAGUCGCCCCAAAUAAACUCUGAGGGUUAUAGAAGAUAUUUACAUCAUAUUUGGUGAACCCAAGAAUUGUUUUUCAAAGUAUUUCAAAAAAAGGUUUUUGCCCCAAAAUGUCUUUUAAUACCCAUGGCAUGCCUUCCCAGCACAUGUACAAUGCCACCAAUAGUAAGGGAGUAUGAGAUUUGUGGUUAAAACAUCUGGAAGAACAAGGACUCCAGUUGAAAGCUACAUUACUGUAACACUUUCCUAGGACAAUAUCUACUGAUUGGAUUGGAGAUUAAUAUUGAGUAAGUGGGUGUAUACGUAAUUGUCAGUUGAGUACUGAUCCCACUGAAAAGAACACCACUAGGUAGUUAUGACUUUACAGUCAGCCCAAUGUACUCAGAGAUUUGGUGGGCCAUUUUAUAUAAAGGAUAUCAUUUUACUAUGCUAGUGUAUAUAAUGGAACUUGAACAUCCAUAGAUUUUGGUAUCCAUGGGGGAGGGGUUAUGGAUCCAAACCCUAGCAGAUACAAAGGGCCAAGUAUACUUUAUUAUUUAAUGUUUAUUAGAGCCUCCUUUCCCAAUUCUCAAUAAGAUGCUAGCAAUACACAUGUCUCCAGCAUUAUCCUCAUUUCCUUUUCUCUCUGGUUUUCUGUGUUUUUUUUCAUAUUGUACUAUAUUUAAAAGCAUGAGGCUUAAGACUUUGUUUGAUGUGAAUAGCACCAUUGAGUAGAAACUGUAUUUUCUAUAGGGCAUCAAGUGCAGCACAUUUAGCCUAGAACUCACCCAACCUGAACUUAAACUAAAAUAACAAUAACUGGGGUCAUUUUCCUACAUUGGUUUUAAAAAUAAUUCAUUCUCCGGGGAAAAAAACCUCAUCACUUCUGUUUCUAUUUGACCUUUCCAACUUCUUUGUUAAACACUGCACUCUUUGGCAUUUUGAUAUUUUAUAUGGCAGCUUUGCUCAACUUGGAUUGUGAGAGCAUAAGUCCAUUGCUCCUAGUCCUGCCCCACCAAAAACUUCUAGAGGAGACAAGAGGGAGCACUCAUGGGAUGGGAGAGAAACAGAAGUACAGGAAAUCCCCAAGUUACAAACACCCAACUUACAAACUACUCCUUACGAACAGGGGUGAGGCAACAGGAAGUGAGAGAAAUCUAUCCCUAGGAAGAGAAAUUCAGUCCUGGAAAAGUUAUCAUGGGGAAAAGGUGUCUCCACUGAAGCUUUCUCACCAAUCCUUAUUUCCACAGCAAGCCAAUUUUUUUUUUCAAAAUCGAAUUAUCAUAGGGACAGAAAGUCAGCAAAACAAACACCACAGGAGGUGUUAAUCCUUCCCUUUGCAAUCCAAAGCAUAUAUGUCUAUGUAUGUAUGUGAUAUAUAUAUAUAUAUAUAUAUAUAUAUACACACACACACACACACACACACACACACACACACACACACACACUAGCUGUGCCCGGCCACGCGUUGCUGUGGCUUAGUCUGGUGGUGUUGGUCAGUCUACAUUAGGUUGUAUUUAUGCUGUGACCUCCACCUUCUUUAUACUCACAUUAGUAGUAGUAUUUGAAGUCUGUUACCUUCUUCAAUUUUUGUGUUGAUUGAUAAUUGCUUGAGAUCCCUGUUGUCUUUGGUUUGUUGUUAAUUGUAAUGUCUGAUUCUGCUGAGUGCGGUUUAUAUUUUUAUUGUGGUACAAUAGUCCUUUUUUUGUUUUGCCUGUGUAGGUGUUUAUUAUUAUUGUUGUUGUAGUGGUCAUGAAGGUUGGAUAAGUUAGAUGCUACUGAAUUGUUUUUUGGAGGCCCAGUGUAGCACUGACUGGCCUCUCAGCCUCAGUGCCUGGCUGUUUCUUGCCUGUGAUGGUGUUGAUUCUUGUUGUUGUUGUCAUUGUUAUUGUUGUAAUUGUUUUUUUGGAGGCCAAGUGUGAAUGUAGGGAUUGGGGAGGUGGAUGAGUUGUGUUGUCAAAUGUUGUAUUUGUUAUAGUCACAAUGCGUUGUUGUGAGUUUUGUGGGUCUGGAUUGUGGUUUUGUGGUGUGGUUGUGUUGUUACAACUGAGAGGCAAGGCUUUUGUGUUGUGUUGCGAAGUUUUGUAUUUCUGGGUCGUUUAGUUGUGUUGUUAUAGUCACGAUGCAUUGUUGUGAGUUUUGUGGGUCUGGAUUGUGGUUUUGUGGUGUGGUUGUGUUGUUACAACUGAGAGGCAAGGCUUUUGUGUUGUGUUGUGAAGUUUUGUAUUUCUGGGGCGUUUAGUUGUGUUGUUAUAGUCACGAUGCAUUGUUGUGAGUUUUGUGGGUCCGGAUUGUGGUUUUGUGGUAUGGUUGUGUUGUUACAACCGGGAGGCAAGGUUUUUGCGUUGUGUUGCCAAGUUUUGUAUUUCUGGGGCGUUUAGUUGUGUGCCAAGUUUUGUAUUUCUGGGGCGUUUAGUUGUGUUGUUAUAGUCAUGAUGCAUUGUUGUGAGUUUUGUGGGUCUGGAUUGUGGUUUUGUGGUGUGGUUGUGUUGUUACAACUGAGAGGCAAGGCUUUUGUGUUGUGUUGCGAAGUUUUAUAUUUCUGAGGCGUUUAGUUGUGUGCCAAGUUUCGUAUUUCUGGGGCGUUUAGUUGUGUUGUUAUAGUCACGAUGCGUUGUUGUGAGUUUUAUGGGUCUGGAUUGUGGUUUUGUGGUGUGGUUGUGUUGUUACAACCUGGAGGGAAGGCUUUUGCGUUGUGUUGCCAAGUUUUGUAUUUACGGGGCGUUUAGUUGUGUUGUUAUAGUCACGAUGCGUUGUUGUGAGUUUUGUGGGUCCUGUGUGGUUUUGUGGUGUGGUUGUGUUGUUACAACUGGGAGGCAAGGCUUUUGCAUUGUGUUGCCAAGUUUUGUAUUUCUGGGGCGUUUAGUUGUGUUGUUAUUGCAUGAUGCGUUGUUGUGAGUUUUGUGGGUCUGGAUUGUGGUUUUGUGGUGUGGUUGUGUUGUUGUAACCUGGAGGCAAGCCUUUUGCAUUGUGUUGCCAAAUUUCGUAUUUCUGGGAUGUUUAGUUUUGUUGUUAUAGUCACUGCGCAAACAACUUUAUCAUUUUAUAUAUAUAGAUAUGUG